UAUAAACCUCAGGUAAAUGUUAUGAUUUAUCGGGUCAAUUUUUUUUUAGGGAUGAAUAAUUUUUUUGCUGCUUUUCUAGGGUUCGCUAUUCUUUUAGGGCUCAAUCUAGGAAACGGGUUAGUGUUUUUAGUUCUUUUUAUAAGAACUUACAGAACUUUAUUGAUUUUGUGGUAUUUGAUUGAACUUUCGAUUAAUUUAUACAUUUCAACUUUUUUGAUUGUGAGUUCUUUUUUGAUGGAAUCAGGGAAAAAAUGCUUGUAAAUUUUCUUGACAUUGGGUUCUAUGAAUUCUAUCUUUUUGAGUUUUUUUCCUUCCUCUAAGUGAAUGAAUGUUUAAUUUGUGGGUGUUAUACAUGUUUGAGGUUUUUUUUUAACUAUAUGAUAAAAAUAUAUUUUGCAACUCAUUCUCCCACUUCUCUCUUCUCACGGUGUGUAGUCAUAGGAACUCUUUUUCCCUUUUGCUUUAAACUAAUUAGACUCGAGUAAGUAAAAAGGAUCUGCAAUGAAUUUAGGGUCAGAUUGAGAAAACCGAUCUAAUGUAGUCAGGUACAUUCUUUUAUAUUCUCCUAAGAUAUUUUGAUUCAAAAAUAUUUAUUUUCUUAUUCAGUUUGAAGUAUCAUAUAUGUGUUCUAUGUGUGAGCUUUUACAUGGUAUAUUUAUUCUAGUUACUUUGCCGACAGAGAAGGAAAGCAUAAAAGAUUACUGCUUGCCGACAGAGACUCAGGCCUUCGCUUGUAGCUGAUUCGUCAAACUUAUACUCGAUAAUAGGAACAUGUUUAUUGAUACAAAGUGAGACAAACAAUUAAGAUUUUUCCAACAGGAUCAUCGCAAGAACUAAGAAUAUUAACAACCAUAAGCACUCAACCGCAUGCUUGAUCCACAUC